GACGUAGGGCGCGAGGCGUUUGUCCGGAUUUAUUGGGCGUAAAGAGCUCGUAGGCGGCUUGUCGCGUCGUCCGUGAAAACCUGCAGCUCAACUGCAGGCUUGCGGUCGAUACGGGCAGGCUGGAGUUCGGUAGGGGAGACUGGAAUUCCUGGUGUGAGCGGUGGAAAUGCGCAGAGUAUCAGGAGGAACACCGGUGGCGAAGGCGGGUCUCUGGGCCGGAUACUGACGCUGAGGAGCGAAAGCGUGGGGAGCGAACAGG
rnacentral:rRNA from 1 species